AUCCCGCCGGGAAAGGAAUAGCCACCCACCCGUAGCUAGCCUUGGAGUCGUGCAGGCAACCGCACGGUUUAAGCGUAAGCAAGCAAGAGAGUGGGCCGAAAGCAGCAAGCUGACCAUGUUGAGCCCCGAAAUACCGAAACGGGAAGGCAGACGAUAUUGCUUGGGCGGAAUGUAACACUACGGGUCACGAUUUGGCGAGAGGCG
rnacentral:ncRNA from 1 species